rnacentral:tRNA from 1 species
GUCCUGAUAGGGCAGUGGGUAGUCCGGCUGGUUAGAGCACGGUGCUGAGAACGCCAAGGUUGCAGGUUCGAUCCCCGUAUGGGACA